GCGACACUGGGAAGUGUGUCGGUGGUCUGUUCUGUGUUCUGCAGGUUCCGUCCUAUACCACGCUGUCCAGCUCCAACUAUACCACCACCUGGUCACCGACAAUGACCACACAGCUCACUCCUCUCAAUACUUACCACCCCCCGACGUACCAGUAUGAUGUCACCAGGUCGCAGUUCAUGGCCAACACUAACAAUUAUGACAAGUGUCAAGCUGAUGAUAGUCUGUCUUCUCUUCGCUUUAAGUCACGUGACCACUCCAAUAUGUUGGGCCUGCUCCAGGCUGACCAGCUACGUCAGCACAACCCGUUCCAAGUCAUGUGACCAACUACAUCAACGAGACAGGUUUCUAGUCAUUUGACCAGCUUCAUCAACGAGACAGGUUUCGAGUCAUGUGACCAGCUACGUCAACGAGACAGGUUUCGAGUCAUGAGACCAGCUACAUCAACGAGACAGGAUUCGAGUCAUGUGACCAACUACGUCAACACAACCCGUUCCAAGUCAUGUGACCAGCUACAUCAACGAGACAGGUUUCGAGUCAUGUGACCGACUAGGUCAACACAACCCGUUCCAAGUCAUGUGACCAACUACAUCAACGAGACAGGUUUCGAGUCAUGUGACCGACUACGUCAACAAGACAGGUUUCGAGUCAUGUGACCAGCUACAUCAACAAGACAGGUUUCGAGUCAUUUGACCAACUACGUCAACACAAUUCGUUACAAGUCAUGUGACGAGCAACAUCAACACAACUUGUUUCAAUGUAUGUGACCAACUAGGUCAACACAGCCCGUUUCAAGUCAUGUGACCAAUUGCGUGAACACAGCCCGUUCCGAGAUAUGUGGCUGGCCACGUCACACAACCCGUUUCAAGUCAUGUGACGUACACAGCAAGGCGUGUCCGAAUACAGCUUUCCACGAAUGAGCAUAUCUGUCAUGCCUCUUUUGGAAAUAUCUGCGUCAGUUCCAACGUUCCCUAGCACAAAAUAUUUCUUUGAAAUGUAAAGAAGACAAAAGAAAAUAUGUUCUUAUAUCACAAAUAUAUUAAUUAAUGGCUGAUGGUAAAGUUAUUGGCUAUCAAACCGAGCAGAUUCGGGUUCGAAUGUUGGUGAAGACUGGGAUUUUGAAUUUAAGGAUAUUUUAGGGCGACCAGGGAAACAGAUGAUUUCUACGUCAUCUGCACUAUAGAUCGCAAUGUCUGAAAAAAGAAUUUUUAGUUGGCUACAUUUCUAUCACAAACAUUCUAUAUAUACUUUUUCAUUAGCUUGUGUUAGCAUCAGUACAAGAUGAGUUUUUCUAUAUUUUUCUCCAACGGCGGAAAUUUUUUGUGAUUGCUUCCCUUUUACUUUUUAUGAUUGCUUCCCUUUGUUUUAACCAAUCAGAUUCAAACUGCUGCUUAUUAAUAAAAUACUCAGAAAGACAAAGAUAAAGGCUCAUUUUUUUUUUCGUAUGCUAGGAGGAAAAGCGCUCCCUCUUCACUAGUGUCAUUAGAGCAUUAACGGGUUGCCUGAAUCAGACAGGAAAACAAGUGACUUAGCACAGUUUAAUUCACAAAAUGGCAAGCACGACUGGAUUAGCACAUGGAUGUAAUUAUAUAUUCUGUUUUGAAGAAGGACGUCUGUCAUUUAUAAGAUCAGGAGAAAACUAUUUACCCUGGAGAGGACGUUUUACGAAGACAUUGCAAAGGUGUAAAUCAAAUUAAUUAGUAAUAUAUAGUCAAUUGUAACUUAAAAUUGAGCUAUACUAUAGAUCAGUGGUUCCCAAAUUUUUUGUCUCGUAGA
rnacentral:sRNA from 1 species